AGCUUGUCAAUGAUGUUUCUUAUUAAAAAAAAUGUCUGAACAUAUGAAUUUCAUAGUGAUUUCAGUGUGUUACUGAGAUGAGCU